rnacentral:rRNA from 1 species
AAGUGUUAAAACGUUAGUGGCGGACGGGUGAAGAAAUGAAAAAAGAAAGCCCUUAGGAGGGGAAUAACAGUUGGAAACGACAGAAAAAAAAAGGCGCAUAUCAUAACUAUGAAAGAAGAAAUUCGCCUAAAGAAAAGCUUGCGUCUGAUUAGCUCCCUCGGUAAGGGUAAAGGCCUACCAAGGCGACGAUCAGUAGCUGGUUUGAGAGGACGACCAGUCACACUGGAACUGAGACACGGUCCAGACUCCUACGGGAGGCAGCAGUGGGGAAUUUUCUGCAAUGGGCGAAAGCCUGACAGAGCAAUACCGCGUGAGGGAAGAAAGCCCACAGGGUUGUAAACCUCUUUUGUCAAGGAAGAAGUUCUGACGUUACUUGACGAAUAAGCAUCGGCUAACUCCGUGCCACCAGCCGCGGUAAGACGGGGGAUGCAAGUGUUAUCCGGAAUCACUGGGCGUAAAGCGUUUGUAAGUGGUUUAAUAAGUCUAUUGUUAAAGCUUGAAGCUUAACUUCAAAAAUGUAAUAAAACUACUAGACUAGAGGAUAGUAGGGGAAAAGGGAAUUUCCAGUGAAGCGGCGAAUGCUAAAGAUUGGAAGGACACCGAUGGCGAAGGACUUUACCGACUAUUUCUGACCCUAAGAGACGAAAGCUAGGUAGCCCAUGGGAUAAGAAACCCCAAUAGCCCAAACUGUAAACGAUGGA